rnacentral:misc_RNA from 1 species
UCGAGAUCGUCCUGGAUCUCCUGGAGCUUCUCGAUUGAGAGGACGAGCGCUUCAUCGAUUUGGUUAUUGUCGUCCUCCCCUUUCUCUCCUACCUUCAUCUUCUUCCCCUUGUCUGCAGCCAUUUUCCCCCUCUCUCCUUAAACAACAACAACCUUGAGCCUAAACCUAACAAUUUACACUCCUUGGGGAAAUGCUAAAACCCUAAUGCCUCUGCUCUCCCUCUC